rnacentral:rRNA from 1 species
CCCUUUGGUAUUCCGAGGGGCACACCCGUUUGAGUGUCGUGACAUCCUCAAACCUUCUUGGUUUCUUGACCAGGAAGGCUUUGGACUCUGGAGGUUCUUGCUGGCCUUCCUUUGUUGAAGCCAGCUCCUCUGAAAUGAAUUAGUGGGAUCUGCUUUGCUGAUCCUUGGCGUGAUAAGAUAUUUCUACGUCUUGGGUCUCGCACUGUUCGCUCUUGAUCCUGCUUCUAACCGUCUCAUAGAAGACAAUGGUUGAGUGAUUGCCACUUGGCCUACAAACCUUGACCUCAAAUCGGGUGAGACUACCCGCUGAACUUAAGCAUAUCAAUAAGCGGAGGAAGGC